AAAUUGAAGAGUUUUGAUCAUGGCUCGGAAUUGAACGCUGGCGGCAGGCUAACACAUACAGAGAUCGAACGGUAACAGGAACGGCUUGCUGCUUCGCUGACAGUGGCGGACGGGUGGUAAUAAUGCAGGGGAAACUGCCUGAUGGAGGGACAACUACUGGAAACGGGCUAAUACCUGCCGCAUAACGUCGCAAGACCAAGAGAGGGACUUCGGGCCUCUUGCCAUCAGAUAUUGCCCAGAUGGGAUUAGCUUGUUGGUGGUAACGGCUCACCAGGCGACGAUCCCCUAGCUGAUACCGAGAGGAUGACCAGCCACACUGAAGAACUGGUCCAGACUCUGGGAGGCAGCAGUGGGGAAUAUUGCACAAUGAGCGCAAGCCUGAUGCAGCAACCAUGCCGCGUGUAUGAAAGAGGCCUUCGGGUUGUAGUACUUUCAGCGGGGAAGGGUAUUUGUGGUUGCGCCGCAAUUGACGUUACCCGCAGAAAAGCACCGACUGUGCUCCGUGCCAGCCGCGGUAAUACGGAGGUAAUACGGAAGUGCAAGCGUUAAUCGGAAUUACUGGGCGUAAGCGCACGCGGGCGGUCUGUCCGUCCGGAUGUGAAAUCCCACGGGCUCAACACAGAGACUGCAUUCGAAACUGGCAGGCGAGUCUUGUAGAGGGUAGAAUUCGGUGUAGCGGUGAAAUGCGUAGAGAUCUGGAGAAUUACCGGUGGCGAAGGCGGCCCCGGACAAAAGACGACGCUCAGGUGCGGCAGCGUGGGGAGCAAACAGGAUUAGAUACCACGGUAGUCCACGCCGUAAACGAUGUCUACUUGGAGGUUGGCGCGCGAGGCGUGGCUUCCGGAGCUAACGCGUUAAGUAUUGAGCCGCACGAGGUACGGCCGCAAGGUUGAAACUCAAAUGAAUUGACGAGGGGCCCGCACAAGCGGUGGGCAUGUGGUUUAAUUCGAUGCAACGCGAAGGGCUUAUACGGUCUUGACAUCCACGGAAGUUUUCAGAGAUGAGAAUGUGCCUUCGGGAACCGUAGAGACGGAGUGCUGCAUGGCUGUCGUCAGCUUUCGUGUUGUGAAAAUGUUGGGUUAGAAGUCCCGCAACGAGCGCAACCCACUUAUCGCUUUGUUGCCAGCGGUCCGGCCGCGGGAACUCAAAAGGAGACUGCCAGUGAUAACUGGAGAGUGGGGAUAUUGACACGUCAGGUAUCAUAGCUACUGCGGCGAGGCUACACGUGCUACAAUGGCGCAUACAAGAAGCGACCUCGCGAGCAAGCGGACCUCAUAAAGUGCGUCGUGGUCCGGAUUGGAGUCUGCAACUCGACUCCAUGGGGAAGUCGGAAUCGCUAGUAAUCGUGGAUCAGAAUGCCACGGUGAAUACGUUCAGGCCUUGUACGCACCGCCCGUCACACCAUGGGAGGUGGGUUGCCAAAAGAAGUGUAGCAACCUUCGGGAGGGCGCUUACCACUUUGUGAUUCAUGACUGGGGUGAAGUCGUAACAAAAGGUAACCGUAGGGAACCUGCGGUUGGAUCACCUCCCCU
rnacentral:rRNA from 1 species